AAUGCUGACACUUAAAAACAAUACGUAAUAAUAAUUAUUUAACAAAAAACUGAAAUGAAAAACAAAAUGCAAUUGCUUGAAAUGUUUCUAUAAAAUAAACUGUAACAUACAAAAUGUUAUGCAGAAUGAAACAAAGGGCAGUUUUUUAAUAAGACAGCUAAAUUAAAUCAAUUAGUGGAUGUUUAUUUGCAGUAAGAAACCAUUUUGUUUGUCUUGAGGAUGCUCAGACUGCCUUGCCUCCUCUGGAGGCUUUUUCAUACCAGUCAUGCUUGAGGCUAUUUCAUACCUGUUGAGUUUCAAUUUAUAAAUGUCACGCAGCUCAAUGCAAGCAGCCCAUAAAUCAAUCCAAAUGUUUGCAAACACUGCACUAAGUGGUGACAGAAAGCUGGUUUAGUUUAAUUAUCAGUUGUUAUUAAAGGAAAUAUUCACCAGACAGUGAUGUGCAAGGUCAUUGACACCAAAGUACGAAUCUAAGCUACAUAUUGACCGAGAAUUUACAAUAAGCUUUUUGUUAACAUUAACAUAAUUUGUUAAUAUUAGUUAACUUGUGACACUUCCACAAAUGCGAAAAAGAGAGAACAUUUUCAAUUAAUGUUUUGAUUAUUUUUUUGUUUAUAAUUUUGGUGAUGGUUAUUUAUGGAAACUAUCUGUAUGUAAAUCAUUUUCUGUGGAGGCAGGGGAUGUGUUACAUUGAAUUGGGAUGUGUGAUCGAAGGAAGGACUCUUAUUGUAAAAGGCCUCUGUGUAAGAGAGGGAAGGGUGGCCAUUUUGAGAAAAGUUGUAGCUCAUGGGGUGGCAUUCUUGAGAUACUGGCCAACAAAGGUGCUGGAAAAUGGCAGGCUCUCACCUGUGCGAUUGCAAUGGAUUAAAAUUUCAUCUGGCACGUUGACUGAAGGAUUACCUGAUCUUUUUGGGGGGCCUGUUACCAGUGGAUUAUCACGUUUGCUCCUUCUGGGAUCAUUUGUGGAUUAUUUUUUGAAUCCAGAAAUUCCUGAGAAGUUAAUAUGGGUGAGACUGUUGUUUUUUUUUUUUUUUUACUUUUUCUCUCUUACUUUUUUCCUUUUUUGCUGGGAUUAUCGUGUUUUUUUGGACUGCUUUUUUGUCUUGGACUCUCAUUUAAGGAUGAUCCUGUCUAACUACUACCUGUCCCACAAAACACAGGCCACUGAACUGAUACCCUUUUUUGUUGCCACAGCGAUUCAUUACCCAAAACUGUGCCUUGUUUAGCCUCUUGUUAUCCUGUGUAUUUAUGCCCCUGUGUUUCAGUGGUCUGUUUCUCCCUGUUGUAAAGCUGUUCCUUUUAUCUUCCUCUGCCUCAACUGGAUUUGUGUUCCUUGUAGUGAUGGUUAAAUGAAGCUUUGUAAAGCACAGAGUCUCCCCUUUCAACUGUAUCGCAAAAGGGUUCAUUACUAUUAGCUUUUAAACGCUGUGUACAUUAUGGCCAUCUAUUGGUCAUUAAAAAUUAAAAGCACCUACCAAAGUGCCAUGUUCCGUUACAACCUCUGGUUUUCUGGUUCUGCGACUGAUGCUUUAUUUUAUUUUAUAUAAUGGUCAUUGUCGAAGUGAUUAAUUUGAGUUGGUGUACUGGCAUUAUGUAUUUGUUUCAUUUAUUUUAAAUUAAAUCUGUGAUCUGUCUAUUUUAACAGUUUUAGAUUUAAAUUAAUUUGGGCUCUAUAUAUUAAUUAAUUAUUAAUAUUAAAAUGUAAGGAAAACAGCACUGGGUUUCACUAUUUUUAACCACAUACUGAAGCAGUCACAUGAUUUCAGGUGAACACUGGAGAGAACAAAGCUUUGGACGUUAGAGAUCACAUGCUUUUGGCAAAAUGAAUCAAGCUCCGAUACAGUGCUUUAAUGUGAAAUCUGUUUUUUUUUUUUGCUUAGGAGUUUUGGUGUCGAAUGUAACAUCACUAGUUUUUGUUUGGAUUUCUGCCCUGUUUGGUCCUUGUUUGGAUUAUCUUUAAUGUGCGUUUGUUUAAAAAAAACUGCUGCAUCUCAACUCGCAUGAGAUGGACCCAGAUCAUGAGCCUCCUCAUGACAUUGCCACCACACCAGAGCCCUCAGCUGUAAUGGCCGCCACUUCAGAGACCACAGCUGUCAUGGCCGCCAUGCCAGAGCCCUCACCCAUCAUGGCUGCCACUUCAGAGCCCUCAGCCGUCAUAGCCACCACUUCAGAGCCCUCAGCCAUCAUGGCUACCACUUCAGAGACCGCAGCAGUCAUGGCCGCCAUGCCAGAGCCCUCAGCCAUAAUGAACGCCACUUCAGAGCCCUCAGCCAUCAUGGCCGCCACUUCAGAGACCUCAGCCGCCAUGGCUUCCAUACCAGAAUCCAUGAAAGCCAUUUCGAGGUGUAUGGGACUGGCAUCCAAGGCAGUGGACCGUCAAGUGAUGUCAGCCUGAACUCUCAGUCUGCCCUUUCACAGCCAAGGAGGCCAUCUCUGAACCCUCUGCCGGUCUUCAGCUUCACCUUGGCGGUCACCGGCUCCGUCUGCCCCACCCUGGUAUUCUCUGGCUCCGUAUGAUCCACCUUGGUGAUCUCCUGCUGUUGCUUCUCCUUGGUGGUUGCCAGCCCAGCCUGCUCCACCCUGGCCUGCUGCAUUUUCGGCUCUGCCAUAGCUCCCUGAGCCGCUGGCCCACCCUGGUUCCUAGAUCUGCUCUGGCUCCUGAGCCUCCGGCUAUGCCCUGGUCAACUGCUCUGCCUACUAGGCUCCCUGAACUGCCAGCUCUACCUUGGCUCCCUGCUCUGCCCUUGAUCAUUACUUUGCUGGCUUAGCUUCAGGUUCAGCUUCAGUCUCAGGGCCCACUUCCACCACACAGGCCUGGCCCACCAUGCCUCCCCUGGUCUGCCUGGAUUCAUGUUUCUAUUUGAGGAGCAUCUGUAAUCCGCUCCCUUAUUUUUAUAUGUUGCUGUUUCACUUCCUGUGUUUAGUACCUGUUUGCCUUUGUUUCCACUGCUGCCUUGUUUGUUUCUAUUAGUGUUAAUUGUGUCAGCAAUUUUUUUUAUCUUAGUCUUAGUCCUGUUAAAUGUAACUUUUAUUUAUUUAUUUACUUUUAUUUAGUCAACCUUGUCCUGUUUUUGUUUAGUCAAAUACCUCCUCUCAAAUAUUAUAACAGAGAAAUUCCUAAUAGUAAUUCCAAUAAUUCCAAGUAAUUCCAUUAAUGUUUCUCUAUUAAAAACAACGGCAUAAAAGACCAUACAUAUUGCCACACAGAGGUUGUGUAAGUACAAUCAGCAACCACAAUCGCAAACAAUACAGUCGAGAUCCAUGACAGAACACAGACUGACUGAAUGACACUUUCAUUUAAGCAGAAUACCUCAAAUGGAAAUCGCUGAACUCCAGCUUACUUGUACAGUAGUGUAUGUCAGUGUUUUCAGAUCAUGGCACCUCCGCAGAGAGCGUGUGCGAAUGGUUGCCAAAUUGCAUAAAGCAAAAAGGUGUCCGUUUAACAGAAAAGCUCUGACUGGGGGAUUUGAACUCUUGAUAUCUGGCAACCGCAAACAUGAACGCUCGCCUAAUAGAGUUUUGUACAGCAAUCUGAAAUGUUUUGGCUCCUCUUUUUUUCAACAAAAAUAAAAAAAAAACAUUUUGGUAAAGUUUUUUAAUGUUCUUUUAACUACAUUUUAUUCAUUUUUCGUCAACAGUAUUGCAUGUUGUUAUAGUCACAGUUAUUGUUUAAUGGCCUUAAUGGAAAAAAACUUUGUUAACAAAAUCUAUGAUGAAAAAUGUUUUAUUAACAAAAUUAACACUAGUUUCUAUAGUUACCCAUAGUGACUCUUUGUUGCCAUAGUGAUUCGUUACCCACACUUUAGCCUCUAUUAUCCUCUGUAUUUAUACCCCUGUGUUUUAGUAGUCUGUUAUCAGUCAUAGUCUUUAGCUCCCCGUUGUAAAGCUGUUUCUUGUUUGGAUUUCUGCCCUGCUUGGACUUGUACCUUGUUUGGAUUACCUUGUGUCUCUGUCUGUCAAUAAAAACUGCUGCACUUAGA